rnacentral:lncRNA from 1 species
CAAAUCUGUAAGCAUUUCUCAGGCAAUGAAUUAUGUCAACACAAUUGCACCAUCAUUGAUGGACUUGGAAAUGCAGACAGAACUGAAGAGGAGCGUCUCGGCACUGCUGCUACGGAUGGCCUGCAGGAGCCAAGAAGUCUGAAGCAGCCAAAGAAAAACCACAAAAGAAGUGAAACAGCCAGCUCCUGCCAUAACUGAUUGACCAACCUUAUGACAUUCCACCAUUAUGACUUGUUCUGGCCCUGCCCCAACUGAUCAGUUGACCUUGUGACAUUCUUCUUUCGGACAAUGAGUCUUAUGAUCUCCCCACCAUGCACCUUGUAAUCCCCUCCUCUGCUAACAAUAGAUAACCUCCUUUAACUGUAACUUUCCACUGCCUACCCAAGUCCUAUAAAGCUGCCCCUCUCCUAUCUCCCUUCGCUGACUCUCUUUUUGGACUCAGCCCACUUGCACCC